UGGCUCAGUGGUAGAGCGCUUGCCUUGAAUGCAUGAGGCCCUGGGUUCGAUACCUCAG
rnacentral:tRNA from 1 species